rnacentral:lncRNA from 1 species
ACAUCUUGUGCAUGCAGUGACUCAGGAAGAGAAAGAACGAAGAGAAACGUUGCUGGAACAGUGGUGAAGAAAAUUCUGAGCUCAGGUGAGCACCAUCAGAGUGUUUUGGUUGUUGCUGUAAUAUUUGCAGGGUGUGGGUGGAUGAAGAAGGUGGAUGAUGAAGACAGGAGGUGGUCCGAGCGUGAAAGAAUGGACGAUAGGUGCUGGCUGGGUGAGAGGAAGAAGACGAAGAACUUGUAUCCGGUUACGCAUGAAGCGGUAUCCGGAUACGCACAACAAUGAAAACAUGAACAACUUUGUAUCUGGUUACCCC